AACCACAUGCAAAUAUCAUCACGGUAAUUAAAGGAAGAGUCCCAUGUGGUCUAGUUAGUCCCGCCUUGAAGAAAUUUCUUGGGAGAAGUUGGGGAGGAUUUGUUCUUUGCAGAAGGAGGUCAUGAACGAGAGGAAUUUGACUUAGGAAAAGGAGUUUGAGGCUGCAGGCUCCAGGGAGCUCCUGGUGACCCUGAGUGAUUUGGUCCUUUGGUCCAGUGAUGUGGUUAUAUAUUCACCUUGUCUUGCGUGUUCUACUCAGCGGGAAGGAAUCAGGGCCCAGUUCCGAUGCAGAAACUCCCUCUCAGGUCUGAAGUAUGUUGAUCCAAGGUCAGGGUCAUCAGAGAGCCUGUGGUGAGAUUGCUUUCCCUGCCCUUACCAGCACCCUACGGCCUCAGGAUUCCAAAAUAGACCUGAUGUUGGGAUCACGCUUGACCAGCCUAAAGGCUAAAUUGGAACCUUAUGGACAUCGAACCUAGAAACAUAUGCUGAUGUGAUUUAUAGGUAUCUUCUUGUCUCCAUAGAAGAAGAGCUCAUCUGGCUGGAGCAUUCUGGGC
rnacentral:lncRNA from 12 species